rnacentral:rRNA from 1 species
UACGUAGGGUGCAAGCGUUAAUCGGAAUUACUGGGCGUAAAGCGUGCGUAGACGGUUAUUUAAGUCGGGUGUGAAAGCCCUGGGCUCGACCCAGGAAGUGCACUCGAAACUGCCAGGCUAGAGUAUCGGAGAAGUUGGUGGAAUUCUCGGUGUAGAGGUGAAAUUCGUAGAUAUCGAGAGGAACACCGGUGGCGAAGGCGGCCAACUGGACGAUUACUGACGCUGAGACUCGAAAGCGUGGGGAGCAAACAGG